rnacentral:rRNA from 1 species
CGGUAAUACGGGGGGAGCGAGCGUUGUCCGGAAUCACUGGGCGUAAAGGGCGUGUAGGCGGGUAGGUCAGUCAGAUGUGAAAGCCCACGGCUUAACCGUGGAAUUGCAUUUGAUACUGCUUAUCUUGAGUGUGAGAGAGGGUAGUGGAAUUCCCAGUGUAGCGGUGAAAUGCGUAGAUAUUGGGAAGAACACCAGUAGCGAAGGCGGCUACCUGGCUCAUAACUGACGCUAAUGCGCGAAAGCGUGGGGAGCAAACAGGAUUAGAUACCCUGGUAGUCCACGCUGUAAAACGAUGGGCACUAGGUGUUGGUUGCGAUUUAUCGUGAUCAGUGCCGGAGCAAACGCAUUAAGUGCCCCGCCUGGGGAGUACGAUCGCAAGGUUGAAACUCAAAGGAAUUGACGGGGGCCCGCACAAGCGGUGGAGCAUGUGGUUUAAUUCGAUGCAACGCGAAGAACCUUACCGGGGUUUGACAUCACGUCGAAUGUCGUAGAGAUAUGGCAGCCUUUCGGGGCGGCGUGACAGGUGCUGCAUGGCUGUCGUCAGCUCGUGUCGUGAGAUGUUGGGUUAAGUCCCGCAACGAGCGCAACCCUUGUCUCUAGUUACCAGCGGGUAAAGCCGGGGACUCUAGAGAGACUGCCGGUGAUAAACUGGAGGAAGGUGGGGAUGACGUCAAGUCCUCAUGGCCCUUACAUCCCGGGCUACACACGUGCUACAAUGGCCGGUACAACGAGUUGCGAUACCGCGAGGUGGAGCUAAUCUCUAAAAACCGGUCUCAGUUCGGAUUGCAGUCUGCAACUCGACUGCAUGAAGUCGGAAUCGCUAGUAAUCGCGGAUCAGCACGCCGCGGUGAAUACGUUCCCGGG